rnacentral:rRNA from 1 species
GGGCUCUUGACUGCUUAUUGCACCACAUGUGUUUUUCUUUGAAACAAACUUGCUUUGGCGGUGGGCCCAGCCUGCCGCCAGAGGUCUAAACUUACAACCAAUUUUUUAUCAACUUGUCACACCAGAUUAUUACUAAUAGUCAAAACUUUCAACAACGGAUCUCUUGGUUCUCGCAUCGAUGAAGAACGCAGCGAAAUGCGAUACGUAAUAUGAAUUGCAGAUAUUCGUGAAUCAUCGAAUCUUUGAACGCACAUUGCGCCCUCUGGUAUUCCGGAGGGCAUGCCUGUUUGAGCGUCGUUUCUCCCUCAAACCGCUGGGUUUGGUGUUGAGCAAUACGACUUGGGUUUGCUUGAAAGACGGUAGUGGUAAGGCGGGAUCGCUUUGACAAUGGCUUAGGUCUAACCAAAAACAUUGCUUGCGGCGGUAACGUCCACCACGUAUAUCUUCAAACUUUGACCUCAAAUCAGGUAGGACUACCCGCUGAACUUAAGCAUAUCAAUAAGCGGAGGAA